rnacentral:rRNA from 1 species
CCUACGGGGCGCUGCAGUGAGGAAUAUUGGUCAAUGGCCGUAAGGCUGAACCAGCCAAGUCGCGUGAAGGAAGAAGGAUCUAUGGUUUGUAAACUUCUUUUAUAGGGGAAUAAAGGUAUCCACGUGUGGCUAUUUGCAUGUACCCUAUGAAUAAGCAUCGGCUAACUCCGUGCCAGCAGCCGCGGUAAUACGGAGGAUGCGAGCGUUAUCCGGAUUUAUUGGGUUUAAAGGGUGCGUAGGUUGUUUUUUAAGUCAGCGGUGAAAGUUUGUGGCUCAACCAUAAAAUUGCCGUUGAAACUGGAAGACUUGAGUGUGUUUGAGGUAGGCGGAAUGCGUGGUGUAGCGGUGAAAUGCAUAGAUAUCACGCAGAACUCCGAUUGCGAAGGCAGCUUACUAAGCCAUAACUGACACUGAAGCACGAAAGCGUGGGGAUCAAACAGGAUUAGAUACCCCAGUAGUC